UUUUCUAUCCUGAUACGGGCUGCUGAAGAGCGGCAAUUUACAACAACGAAAUGCCAUCAAAUGUGGAGAUUAAAGCCAAGGUUCAUGACAUAGAACAAUUAGUGCAAAAUGCAAAAGAGCUUAGCCAGUCUGAAGGAAGUUUAAUUCUUCAAGAAGAUGUAUUUUUAAUGUUCAACAUGGUCGCCUCAAACUUAGAAACUUCAUGAAUGGUAGUGGGCAACUAAUUUUUUAUGAUCGACCAGAUGUGAGCGGACCAAAGCUUUCAAAUUAUUCUAUUUCUCCUACAGAUGACCCAGAUGGACUAACUGUAGGUUCUCACCAUCUCUAUUUUCAAAUAGCAAUUUGU